ensembl:misc_RNA Metazoa_SRP Metazoan signal recognition particle RNA
GCCAGGCGCGGUGGCGUGUGCUUGUAGUCCUAGCUACUCAGGAGGCUGAGGUAGGAGGAUCCGCUUGAGCCCAGGAUUUCUGGGCUGUAGUGUACUAUGCCAGUCAGGUGUCUACACUAAGUCUGGCAUCAAUAUGGUGACCUCCCAGGAGCAGGAGACCACCAGGUUGCCUAAGAAGGCAUGAACCAGCCCAGGUCAGAAACAGAGCAGGUCAAAACUCUGGUGCUGAUCAGUAGUGGAAUCGCACCUGUGAAUAGCCACUGCACUCCAGCCUGGGCAACAUAGCAGGACCUCAUCUCUA